GGACUACUGGGGUUUCUAAUCCUUAUUGCUACCCAAGCCUUCGUCCCUCAACGUCAGUUUUUACAUAGAAGGACGCCUUCGCCGUCAUCAGUCCCUCUGGUAUCAAAGUAUUUUAUCUCUACUCCAGAAGUUCUUCCUUCUUUUAUAAAACUCUAGUAAAAAAGUACUCGCUUAAAGUUUAAUUUACCGUCUAGGUACCCUUUAAACCUAAUAAAGAUGACUAACACUAGUCUUUUACGUAUUACCGCGGCUGCUGGCAC
rnacentral:rRNA from 1 species